rnacentral:lncRNA from 1 species
CCGUAGAUUUAUUUGGGCCAUCGAACAUUACUCUUCACCAAAGCACAUCGUACCUUCUUAACUCCCGACUUAAUGGACCCUAACGAGGUGACUAUAUUCAGUGGUUUAAUUACUUGAGAGCACGUGUAUCACCUUGAUUAUUUAUAUACGAUCAAAAAAUUAAAAAAAUAUAUCUUCUAUGCGGCCCUUUUGAAUGAGGUCUUGUAUUACUGUAAGUAAUAUCUAUUAUGGUAUA